CCGGUAUGAAUGGCAUCACGAGGGCUUUACUGUCUCCUUUUUCCAGUCAAUGAAAUUGAGCUCUCCGUGCAGAAGCGGGGAUCAAACCAUAAGACGAGAAGACCCUAUGGAGCUUUAGACUCAAUGGGCAGACUAUGUUAAAUACUCUUAGACAAAAGACCGAACGGUAUAAACACUGUCCCAAUGUCUUUGGUUGGGGCGACCCUGGGGAACAAAAAUCCCCCAUGAAGACAGGGAGAACAUUUUUUACUACUCCUACAAACAAGAACGACAGCUCUAGUUAACAGAAAAAUCUGACUUUUUAAGAUCCGGCAUACGCCGAUCAACGGACCGAGUUACCCUAGGGAUAACAGCGCAAUCCUCUUUCAGAGCUCCUAUCGACAAGAGGGUUUACGACCUCGAUGUUGGAUCAGGACAUCCUAAUGGUGCAGCCGCUAUUAAGGGUUCGUUUGUUCAACGAUUAACAGUCCUACG
rnacentral:rRNA from 1 species